rnacentral:rRNA from 1 species
UGGGGAAUUUUGGACAAUGGGCGAAAGCCUGAUCCAGCCAUGCCGCGUGCAGGAUGAAGGCCUUCGGGUUGUAAACUGCUUUUGUACGGAACGAAAAGGUUUGGCCUAAUAAGCUGAGCUCAUGACGGUACCGUAAGAAUAAGCACCGGCUAACUACGUGCCAGCAGCCGCGGUAAUACGUAGGGUGCAAGCGUUAAUCGGAAUUACUGGGCGUAAAGCGUGCGCAGGCGGUUAUAUAAGACAGAUGUGAAAUCCCCGGGCUCAACCUGGGACCUGCAUUUGUGACUGCAAGGCUAGAGUAUGGCAGAGGGGGGUGGAAUUCCACGUGUAGCAGUGAAAUGCGUAGAGAUGUGGGGGAACACCGAUGGCGAAGGCAGCCCCCUGGGCCAAUACUGACGCUCAUGCACGAAAGCGUGGGUAGCAAACA